rnacentral:rRNA from 1 species
GAUGAACGCUGGCGGUGUGCCUAAUACAUGCAAGUCGAGCGGACGGACGAGAAGCUUGCUUCUCUGAUGUUAGCGGCGGACGGGUGAGUAACACGUGGAUAACCUACCUAUAAGACUGGGAUAACUUCGAGAAACCGGAGCUAAUACCGGUUAAUAUCUUGAACCGCAUUGUUCAAAAGUGGAAGACGGUCCUUCUGUUACUUAUAGAUGUAUCCGCGCUGCAUUAGCUAGUUGGUAAGUGAACGGCUUAUCAAGGCAACUAUGCAUAGCCGACCUGAGAGCGUGGUCGUCCACACGGGAACUGAGACACGGCCCAGACUCCGACGGGAGGCAGCAGUAGGGAAUCUUACGCAAUGGGGGAAAGCCUGACGUAGCAACGUCGCGUGAGUGAUGAACGUCUUAGGAUCGUAAAACUCUGUUAUUAGUGAAGAACAUAUGUGUAAGUAACUGUGCACAUAUUGACGGUACCUAAUCAGAAAGCCACGGCUAACUACGUG